rnacentral:tRNA from 1 species
AUUUAAAUAGUUUAUUUAAAAUAUUGAUUUGUGGGAUCAAAGAAAUAAUAUAGUUAUUUUAAAUA